UCGUUGUGUGAUGUGAUUUAGAAUUUAAGUUUGCUGGCAGACCCUAGCUUCUUAUCAUUCCAGGUCUCAAUCAAUUGAGAUUAGGUUGAUAGGACGCUGGGCUCACUGUAAUUCGCAAGAAUUGCAGAGAUGUUCAGCAGAACCUUGACAACUGCAUAGGUAAGUCUGGAAAGAAUAAAGCAUCUCAUGGAUGCAUGAUUCUUGGGAAUCAGCUGAUGCAAUCUGCGCGAGUAGAGAGCUGAGGUUGAUGAACGAGAAUGAUGUUUGAUUCUUGAGUCAAGAGCCGAGACUCUAUAGCGUUCUUUCGAUGUCAUCGAGGCAUCGAGAGUUUGAUUGGUCAUUCAAACCAUCUUCAAUGACAAACAAUUCGGUUUAACU
rnacentral:misc_RNA from 1 species